rnacentral:lncRNA from 1 species
AGACAAUCUCACUCUGUUGCCCAGACACAAGAUAGUGUAGUGGCACUAUCGUGGCUCACUGCAACCUCCACCUCCACCUCCCUGGUUCAAACGAUUCUCCUGCCUCAGCCUCCUGAGUAGCUGGGAUUACAGUUGUGCGCUGCCACGCCUGGCUAAUUUUUGUAUUUUUAGUAGAGACGGGGUUUCACCAUUUUGGCAAGGCUGGUCUCGAACCCAGGUGAUCUGUGUGCCUCGGCCUCCCAAAGUGCGGGAUUACAGGCUGAGCCACCGCCCCAGCCUUCUUUUUGACUUUUUUCUUCAUUUUUAGUAGUUCAGUCCAUUUAGAAACUUGCAGGUCUGUUUAACAUCUCUGAAGAAAGGUUAUUUCUAUAUUUUUAAAUACUUGGCCAUGUGAUAGAGGCUUUCCUGUACAGACAAUUUAAAGUACUAGAACUGUCUGGUCAAGAGAGGUUGUGUGAUGUAACACAUCACAAGGGAAAUUUUUAAUAAGGGAAGAAACAAAUCAGAGAAGUUGAAACAAAUUAGAGAAAGUAGGAACAAAUUAAUGGUCUUUGGACAAUGGCAGACAGCUCAUGGACACUGUGAGUGAAAUAUUGGUAGAUAACUUGUAUGGCCCAUGUAGAGAAUGAAGGGAGUUGAAGAAAGGUAUUCUUAAAACUUGAUUUUGUUAUGCCUGUAAUCCCAGCACUUUGGGAGGCCGAGGCAGACGGAUCACGAGGUCAGGAGUUCGAGACCAGCCUGACCAACAUGGUGAAACCCCAUCUCUACUAAAAUUAAGAAAAUUAGCCUGGCAUGAUUUUAGAUUAUUAGUGGUUUUUCAAACUUUAAAUUAAGUAGUGGAGUGUUUUAUUUUUUAUUUUUAUAUUUUUUGAGACAGAGUCUCGCUCUGUCAUCCAGGCUGGAGUGCAGUGGCACAAUGUCGGCUCACUGCAGCCUCUGCCUCCCAGGUUCAAGCAACCCUCAUGUCUCUGCCUCCAAGUAGCUGGGAUUACAGGUGAGUACCACCACACUUGACCAAUAUUUGUAUUUUUAUUAGAGAGGGGGUUUUGCCAUGUUGCCCAGGCUGUCUCAAACUCCUGGCCCCAAAUGAUCCGCCCAAGAUCUCGGCCUCCCAAGGUGCUGGGAUUACAGGCGUGAGUCACCAUGUAGUGCCAGUAGUGGAGUG